rnacentral:rRNA from 1 species
UACGAAGGGGGCUAGCGUUGUUCGGAAUUACUGGGCGUAAAGCGUAUGUAGGCGGAUCGUUAAGUCGGGGGUGAAAUCCCGAGGCUCAACCUCGGAACUGCCUUCGAUACUGGCGAUCUUCGAGUCCAGGAGAGGUGAGUGGAACUCCGAGUGUAGAGGUGAAAUUCGUAGAUAUUCGGAAGAACACCAGUGGCGAAGGCGGCUCACUGGCCCGGUACUGACGCUGAAAUACGAAAGCGUGGGGAGCAAACAGG